ACACGCAUGGUGAAACGGUAUCAUGCUUGCCUUCCAUGUGGUAGCAAGAAGUUCAUCCAUUAGCAAGCGGCAGGGGUUCGACUCCCCUUGCGUGUA